AUUAAUUCAUUCCAACUCAUAGUUUACUUGAAUAAAUAUAUCAAUGUAAUGUUGUAUGUGUAUUCUGGACUUGACUUGAAUUGGAAGUCUGUUAAAGCUGUUUUAGCUGCUCUGCAAGUGGAUUCAUUCCGCCUGGUCUGGUCUUUGAUGUUUUCCUUAAACCACAAACGUUCCUGUCGAAUCAGCUCCUGAGAGAAAUGGUUUCCUUUGUAACUCAUCUAUAUUCAAACGCAGAGAAUAUUUACUUGUUUCCUCUUAUUCCGGUUUAGAGAUAUAUUUAAAUGAAUGAUUGUCUGCCUACGUGCUUGACUACAGAGCCGUGGAGGAUGCACUAGGUGGGGUGGUCAUGUACGUUUGUGUCCAAAAUGAGCCAAAUUUGACGAAGCACUCCCUCGGAUCCCCAGCAAAACACCAACCAAGUGAGAAGAAGAUUCGAUGAGCGCUUCUUCAGUUGAGCCAAGAACUCACAGAAAGACACGCACUGCUGCUUGUUCUGAAUACAGAGGUAGUUGUGGACAUAAGGGACUGAAAAGGUUGACCCGUGUUUCUGGUCUUUUCUGCAUGCAACACCAUUACUCACACGUGUUGAGGAGAGUAAAUACAUCUCUGCAUCUUUAAAUGUAUAAGGAUACAUGCUCAAUAACAAGAACAGUCAUCUUAGAAAAUUCAAACAUUUUAAUAAAUAAAAACUGAUGUAAUAUACACCAUUGUGAAUAUACAACUACAACAAGCAUACCAAGACAUUUGAAAUACAAAAGAACGGCUGUUAGCUUGAAAAGCUUAAUUUUUAGAAAGAGUGGGAGUGAGCAGAAAUUACAUUAGCCAUACAUUCUUCUUAGUGUGUGUGCCAACAAAUAUAAAAAAGCUUCAUGAGCACUGACUUCUCCAUGAUGGUCAACGUAAAAAAAAGAUUAAAAAAAAUACAAGAAUAAAAAAGAAACAGAAUAGUACAUAUCUGGACUGAAGAUUUCCAUGAAGAGACAAUUUGAGGUACUGAGUUGUCUACGCCUGUAACUAACAGAGAAUACACUCCUUUCCACAGGGUCCUGAAAUUAAAAUAAAGUCUGUAACUCAAACCAGUUCUACAUAUCUGAGGAAGACUAUAGGAAACAAUUGAGAGUAGACAACUCUCUUGUUCUUCUUCCGCUUGUAUUGCAUUUUGGGAUAAACAUAACAUUACUUAAAAAACAUGAGGUUUGUCAUUUAAAGAUGCUCCAUAAAGGAUGAGUGUUAACUACUUUUAAACAUCCAGAUAAGACAAGAUUUCAAUGCUUCCUCCGGUUUUCAAAGAUGGUAACACUGCAGGUCUCUUAAUAAGCAACCACCUCCACCCAGUGGUUGCUGUUGUAGCUGCUGCGUCACAGGACAACUAGAUGUUGAUGCUGCUUAUUCUGUGAAGGGAAAGGGCACCUGCAGGGUUUGGUGGUAUGUCUACCGGACCUGAUAGAAAGACUACAGAGCCAGUGAGCUGAAUGUCUAUGAAGAAAUAUCAAAAGUCAUUGUGAGCAUAUCUGUUCACUCAGCACCAAACACAAUGUGUGGACACUAUCGGCAGACUUUGAAGCAAGUUCAGAGCAAAAAAAAGAACAAGAGACUUAAAGUAAACUGAACCCCUAGGGACCAAACAUGUUAGGACAUGUGGAUUUGAGUGAACCGCUCAUUUUCAAUUUCCUUUGCUUUUGAAUUAGCCGUUCAAUUAUCUGUGUUUCCCUGAAACAGCGAGCAGUCAAAGCAAACCAUCUAAAUUCCAACACUGACUGACGGCAAUCUUACAGUACAGGAUUGUACAGCUACAUUUUGUCUGAAGCAAGGAAACAUCAAACAAAAAAAGCACCACAGAUGUGUUUAAAUAGCACCAGUUGUCAGAAUGUAUAUCACAUGUUUCUUUUUGGCAAUGUACAGCACUGAAUUGAAAGUCUAGGAGAAACGUUUAGCAGCCACUCUCCCCCCACUUCUGAGCCAAAGGCUGGAGAUGCUAGCGU
ensembl:lncRNA